GGAAUAUUGGACAAUGGAAGGAAUUCUGAUCCAGCCAUGCCGCGUGCGGGAGGACGGCCCUAUGGGUUGUAAACCGCUUUUGUGUGGGAGCAAUAAGGUGUACGCGUACACCGACGAGAGUACCAUACGAAUAAGCAUCGGCUAACUCCGUGCCAGCAGCCGCGGUAAUACGGAGGAUGCGAGCGUUAUCCGGAUUUAUUGGGUUUAAAGGGUGCGUAGGCGGGUGAUUAAGCGUGAGGUGAAAUGCCACGGCUCAACCGUGGAACUGCCUCGCGAACUGGUCGUCUGGAAUGCUCCUGCCGUGGGAGGAAUGGGUAGUGUAGCGGUGAAAUGCAUAGAUAUUACCCAGAACACCGAUUGCGAAGGCAUCUCACGAAGGGGUGAUUGACGCUGAUGCACGAAAGCGUGGGGAUCGAACA
rnacentral:rRNA from 1 species